rnacentral:lncRNA from 1 species
CAGGUGGCACCUGAAGGGGUGAAUGAGUUCCUAAAUCAACGGGUGAGGUAAAAUGUGAGAUGAGUAUCAUCCCUGGACAUCCAUCAAAAUCAGCACAGCCAAUGGUGAUGAUUGGAAGCAAACAGAUAACCUUUUCAUUAUAUUUGUGUUGUCCCUGAGUGGGUCCCCAUUAUCCCUUAUCCUACGCGACACACAAAUCUCCACCCAUGCGAUCACCACGAGGGUCUUCCCCCCA